rnacentral:rRNA from 1 species
UACAGAGGUGGCAAGCGUUGUUCGGAAUUACUGGGCGUAAAGGGCUCGUAGGCGGCCAACUAAGUCCGACGUGAAAUCCCAAAGCUUAACUUUGGAACUGCGUCGGAUACUGGAUGGCUUGAAUUCGGGAGAGGGAUGCAGAAUUCCAGGUGUAGCGGUGAAAUGCGUAGAUAUCUGGAGGAAUACCGGUGGCGAAGGCGGCAUCCUGGACCGACAUUGACGCUGAUGAGCGAAAGCUAGGGGAGCAAACGGG